rnacentral:rRNA from 1 species
UGGGCACUCUAAGGAGACUGCCGGUGGACAAACCGGAGGAAGGUGGGGAUGACGUCAAGUCAUCAUGGCCCUUACGGCCUGGGCUACACACGUGCUACAAUGGUCGGUACAAAGGGUUGCCAAGCCGCGGGGUGGAGCUAAUCCCAUAAAACCGAUCGUAGUCCGGAUCGCAGUCUGCAACUCGACUGCGUGAAGUCGGAAUCGCUAGUAAUCGUGAAUCAGAAUGUCACGGUGAAUACGUUCCCGGGCCUU